GGGAGGAUACCAAAGUGGCCAACUGGGGCAGACUGUAAAUCUGCUGCGUCAUCGCUUCGUAAGUUCGAAUCUUGCUCCUCCCA
rnacentral:tRNA from 1 species